rnacentral:lncRNA from 1 species
UAACUAUUAAAGUUUUAAUGUUUUAAAAAUUUAUUUGUGUGAGAUAUGCAUAUAUUUAUUUACUUAUAUGGCCCAUUGUCUGUGGUCUCUCUAGAGGGAGACCAGAGACCCCAGAGAGCACUGACCUUCAAAGAAAGAAAAGGAGACAGCCUGGGGGACAAACAGCAGUUUAUUCUCCUGACACUGUUCGACCAUCACAGAGGAAAGAAAACACAAUUGCUGGUGAGUCCUGAGAAGACUUCAUGUGGAUAAGCCAAUUUGGUGAUUUCCUCUGAUAAUGUGACCAGGACAGAUAGUGAUGUUCCCUUCUCUUCACGUAGCAGCCCAGUGACUGCAAGUUAGUGUGCUGUCCCCUUCUCAUCCUUGAUCUUGCAUAUAUCUGGCUCAUCUCAGGGGGGUUGUUAGAUACUGCAUUGUGUCUAGACUUGUUCACUUCUGCUUUGAGGAAAAAUGUAUGGUUCUGUCUCUUUGUCUGAAAAGAGAAACAGAGCCAACAGUUUUAUGGAAACCUCAAUCUGCUGUUCCAAUGAAUUUAAUGAUAAAUGCAUGUGACCAAGGCCAGUAUUGACACUGGCUUCUAGUUUGGAGAUCUAAUAAAAAAUUUAAUCCUUCACAGACAAUAUGGAACUGCCAUGCCAAUAAAUCUUGUCUGAAGCCUAAACAAGAAGUCAAUAUUUAUUAAAUACACAUAAGAAUGGAACUUAGUCUUCUGUUUGCUCACUAUAAAAGCUGA